UACGAAGGGGGCUAGCGUUGUUCGGAAUUACUGGGCGUAAAGCGCACGUAGGCGGACUAUUAAGUCAGGGGUGAAAUCCCGGGGCUCAACCCCGGAACCGCCUUUGAUACUGGUAGUCUCGAGUCCGGAAGAGGUGAGUGGAAUUCCGAGUGUAGAGGUGAAAUUCGUAGAUAUUCGGAGGAACACCAGUGGCGAAGGCGGCUCACUGGUCCGGUACUGACGCUGAGGUGCGAAAGCGUGGGGAGCAAACAGG
rnacentral:rRNA from 1 species